UUCAGAGGUCACAGAAUCACCAAGAUCCGUUGAUAUGAACCUUAAAAGUCAAACAUCAGAAGAAUUAAUGUCUUCUGACCUUAACAUUGUAGUCAUUGAUUCUGGUGUUCCUCGGCGACCCCCUGCCGGAAAACGUGCAAACGAUCAGGUUAAUUAUCCUAAGUUGAUUGAGUUGCUAAUCAAUAGUUCUGAGUAUGCAUCAAACCUGUUAAAUGAUAUAACUGGAGGGAAAUUAGGAUGUCCUCUACCAGAAGACAUGGAUACAACUGAUAUACAUGCAAGUGACAUGAUAUCGGUAGUUCAUGCAUUUCGUAAUGGUUUCCGAGCUGCUCUUAG
rnacentral:lncRNA from 1 species